rnacentral:rRNA from 1 species
CCUACGGGGUGCAGCAGUGGGGAAAAUUGGACAAUGGGCGAAAGCCUGAUCCAGCCAUGCCGCGUGUGUGAAGAAGGCCUUCGGGUUGUAAAGCACUUUCAGUGGGGAAGAAAGCCUUGGGGCUAAUACCCUCGAGGAAGGACAUCACCCACAGAAGAAGCACCGGCUAACUCCGUGCCAGCAGCCGCGGUAAUACGGAGGGUGCGAGCGUUAAUCGGAAUUACUGGGCGUAAAGCGCGCGUAGGCGGUCUGAUAAGCCGGUUGUGAAAGCCCCGGGCUCAACCUGGGAACGGCAUCCGGAACUGUCAGGCUAGAGUGCAGGAGAGGAAGGUAGAAUUCCCGGUGUAGCGGUGAAAUGCGUAGAGAUCGGGAGGAAUACCAGUGGCGAAGGCGGCCUUCUGGACUGACACUGACGCUGAGGUGCGAAAGCGUGGGUAGCAAACAGGAUUAGAUACCCGUGUAGUC